CGCUCCCUUCCUUCCGCGGCUUCUUGUUUCUCCGUGUCCGAAGAGGUCUGCGCUCGGAUAUAGGUGGUAGUGCCUGGAAGCACUCCAAGUGGAUGAAGAGCAGCUCCUGCCCCCUGCUGGUAGCCCCAGGCCCAGAGGCCUCCACCCAGCAGAGGCCUAAGCCAAGCUCGCCAUUCGCCCUGGGCUGGAUCUCAGCUUCAGAAGGAGACGUUGAGAAGAGGCUGCCCAAGAGCCCGGAGGGGCCACUUCAGAGAAGCGCCUUGAAGAGGAAGGAGAGGGAGGCUCCACAGGAAAGUCCCAGGGCCAGGAAGAAGGUCAUGAGGGCACCAGCCACCUCCCUCUCGUGUGGCAGCACCUGCCUAGAACACCCGGGAAUAGGAGCUCUUAGAAAACGCUGGGUCCAAACCUAGAUCCAGCUCCACCGCCCGCUGCCCAUCCAGUCUGGGCUCUGUCACCAAAACUGGCCCCGUCUUUCUGGGCCUGUUUCCUGGUCUGUAAGUGAGGCUGCUGGAUAAGGACGUCUCUCAGGGCCUCUGGAUCCAACGUGAUGGGAUUCCAGA